rnacentral:rRNA from 1 species
CUACUGGGGUAUCUAAUCCCGUUCGCUCCCCUGGCUUUCGCGUCUCAGCGUCAGAAAACGUCCAGGACCUCGCUUUCGCCACGGGCGUUCCUUCCGAUCUCAACGCAUUUCACCGCUCCACCGGAAGUUCCAGGUCCCCCUACGUCCCUCCAGGACGGUCGUAUCGGUGCCCGUUCCCCGGUUGAGCCGGGGGAUUUCAGCGACCGACGUGCCGUCCCGCCUACACGCGCUUUAAGCCCAGUGAUUCCGAAUAACGUUCGCACGGUUCGUCUUACCGCGGCUGCUGGCAC